GAAUUGAUUAUUUAAGACUUUCCUUAUUUCCCCCAAAAACCGGCGUUUCGCGUGAUUUUUCCCCCCAAAAUCCGGCAUUUCAUGCAAUUUUUUUCCCCUAAAAAAAGGCCAGGCCAUUUUCCCAAAAUCAGAUAAAAAAAAAACCUGCUGUGACCUCUAAUAUAAAACUUUAACAAAAACCUUAACAUUGCCUCUAAAAUCAAAGUGCUUACACCUACAACUUUGAAACUUCAUAUGUAGAUGCACCUUGAUGAGUUCUACAUGCCACACCCAUUUUUGGGUCACUAGGUCAAAGGUCAAGGUCACUGUGACCUCUAAUAUAAAACCUUUUAACAAAAACCUUAACAUUGCCUCUAAAAUCAAUGUGCUUCCGCCUACAACUUUGAAACUUCAUAUGUAGAUGCACCUUAAUGAGUUCUACACGCCACACCCAUUUUGGGUCACAAGGUCAAAGGUCAAGGUCACUGUGACCUCUAAAAAAAAAUGUUCUCACAAGCUUUCGCAGCUGAGCGUGGCACCCGUUAUGCGGUGCUCUUGUUUGAAAUACCAAUGACAAAUUUUUAAGUAUUUUAAAUAAAUACAAUGUAAUAGUUUGUUGAAUGUGUUAGAGAUGAUUUUUUUUAUUUAUGAAGUUCAUCAAAUAUAUAAAUCAAUUUUAUAAAGUGUAAGUCAUAUAUAUUUUGUGAGGUUUCAAUUAAUUAUUAGAAUAAAUCAUUUAAAUAGGGUCACAUACUCACAGUAGUGAAAUGACUAACCCUUAUUUAUUGUAUCUCACCAAUUGCUUAGGGUGGGGGCAUAUUGUGUUUGUCAGUCAGUCUGACUGAUGUCAAUCAUUGUUAUGUUGCAUUUCUAACUAUACUUAAUUGUAGAGCUUUCAUAUUUCACAUGUUGAUUGGUUUCUUUAUAAUCAAUACAUGUGCCAAUAUGGAUUUUGGUUUCAGUAGGUCUUACAAAGAUCAGGCUUAAAUGGGUGACUGGGCCACAUGUGUAAAAUUAAGUUUCUGCUCAUUAUUUUGAGAAUUAAUAAUUCAAGAGCUUUCAUUUGCUGAUUUGACUGUAUUGAAUACAAGAACCUUUUUAUGUCCCCACCACCAUUAUAGUGGGGGACAUAUUGUUUUUUCCCUGUCUGUUGGUUUGUUUGUUUGUUUGUUUGCUCACACUUUAACAUUUUGCCAUAACUUUUGCAAUAUUGAAGAUAGCAACUUCAUAUUUGGCAUGCCUGUGUAUCUCAUGGAGCUGCACAUUUUGAGUGGUGAAAGGUCAAGGUCAUCCUUCAAGGUCAAAGGUCAAAUUCACUCAUUUUAUGUACUCUUUUGCAAUUUUGAAGAUAGCCACUUGAUAUUUUGCAUGCAUGUGUACAUGUAUCUCAUGUAGCUGCACAUUUUGUGUGGUGAAAGGUCAAGGUAAUUCUUCAAGUGCAAAGGUCAAAUAUAUGGUGACAUAGUGUUUCACAAACACAUCUUGUUGAUUUUGGGUUCAGUAGGUAAAGGUCAAAAUUGUUACAAAUGUUAUAAUUGAUUUCUGUUCAGUUACUUAUUCUUAAAAAGUUGACUAAAAGUAUUUAAUAGAUUGUAUAAUUUAUAGAUAUUGACUAUUGUGGGUCGAGAAGCGAUCAGUAAAGGGUUCUGCUUAUAAAAUGUAAAAACUUAAUAUGCCCUGAUGUAUUUAUUUAUAUUUUAUUGUCCCCUACUGGUUUCACCGGAGGGGACUUAUGGUUUGCGCUCCGUCUGUCAGUCUGUCUGUCACACUUUUCUGGAUCCUGCGAUAACUUUAAAAGUUCUUCAUAUUUUUUCAUGAAACUUUAAACAUGGAUAGAUGGCAACAUUGACAUUAUGCACGUCACUUCAUUUUGUUCCUACAUAAAAAAUUCUGGUUGCUAUGGCAACAAAUAGACUAGAAAUACUGCUGAAAAUAGUGGUUUUCUGGAUCCUGCAAUAACUUUUAAAAGUUCUUCAUAUUUUUUCAUUAAACUUGAAACAUGCAUAGAUGGCAAUAUGGACAUAAUGCACGUCAUUUCAUUUUGCUCCUACGUCAAAAAUUGUGGUUGCUAUGGCAACCAAAAAAAAUAAUUCUGAAAAUGGUGGAAUUUCUGACAAUGGUGGAGCCGGUAGGGGACCAUAUUGCUUGACAAUAGCCUUGUUUUUUAUUAAACUUGAAAAAUAGAUAGAUGGCAAUAUGGACAUUAUGCACGUCAUUUCAUUUUGUUCCUAUGUCAAAAAUUCUGGUUGCUAUGGCAACAAAUAGACUAGAAAUACUGCUGACAAUGGUGUUUUGCUGGAUCCUGCGAUAACUUUAAAAAUUCUUCAUAUUUUUUCAUGAAACUUGAAACAUGGAUAGAUGGCAAUAUGGACAUUAUGCACAUCAUUUUCUUUUGUUUCUAUGUCAAAAAUUGUGGUUGUUAUGGCAACAAAUAUAUAUAUAUAUAUAUAUAUAUAUAUAUAUAUACAAUUCUGACAAUGGUGGAAUUUCUGAUAAUGGUGGAGCCGGUAGGGGACCAUAUUGCUUGGCAAUCUCUUGUUUCUCAUCUGCCUAAAUCAUGGCUUAUGUUUUAGACAUUGUUUAACUGGAUUCGAUUGUAUUGAUUGGUGUUGGAAUUUCUUGUAAAUGUUAAUGAUUUACACUUUUUUAUUCUCUGUUGUGUGCUUAUAUUCUUUAGUGAAGAAAAUUAUACAUUGUGUGGUAACAAUUGUUGUGUAUGUGUGUAAUUUCCACAUUUUCCAUUAUUAAUUAAAGGGCAUAAAUAUGCAUAUGGCAUAAAUUCUAUCUUAAGUGAAAGAGUGUUGGUAUUAUUUAGAUCAUUUUUUAUGUGUGCAUAAAACUUUAGUUUUGUUAUCAUUUAAUUAAAAUAAUAUCUUUAAACAUAUUAAUACAGUAAUGGUAAGUAAUGGCCAAAGAUGUGUUGAACCGAAGUACAAUUGAUAUAUUCUUGUUGUUUCACUUGUAAAGCAGAACUGUUGGUCAUUAAUUUUCAGUGCAAUGUAUAAUAAAUACAAUAAAUAGCUGUCUUUUAAGUAGUGUUUUUAAAAUAAUAGAUUUGCCCUUUUUCUUCCGUCCUGUCCCAAUUAUGUGUGUUGCAUGUUACACAAAAACCUCUGAAGCCACUGGUAUGAAUCUUUGCAAACAUAAUAACCAGGGUGUGAUCAUGCACACAUCCAGCAUUUUGUUUAAGGUAUUUUCACAUUAACCAGAGUUAGGUCCCUUUUUAAAUUAAACAAAAAAAAUUUGUAAUUUAAGUUGUACUUUACUAAAAAUUUGGAUAAUGCAACUGAGCAUAUGAACCUGCUCCGCUCCAAUUUUGGGGGAUUUUUCGUAAAAAACUUGAGUUAUGAUCCUUAUUAUGCACAAACUACUUUUUAGCAUGUGUCCAUGAAACUAUACAAACAUGUUAACCAGCAUGAGAUGUUACAUACAUAUUUUAGUUAGAUAAUUGUUUGCACAACCUGUCAUCUUAAUGGUCCUGUUAAAAAAAAACUUUCAAAUUUUGUUGCGCGAAAUCCAAAGUAUUGCUUCUAGAGAGCUGAAACUUUACAAACUUGUUAAACAGCAUGUGCACUUGAGCAUCUCCAUAGUUAGAUCAAAUUAUUUUUAUGCCCCCGGUAGGGUGGCAUAUAGCAGUUGAACUGUCCGUCAGUGUGUCAGUAUGUGUGUAUGUCAGUCUGUCUGUCCGAAAACUUUAAUGGCCAUAACCUUUUCAAUAUUGAAGAUAGCAACUUGAUAUUUGGCAUGCAUGUGCAUCUCACGGAGCUGCACAUUUUGAGUGGUGAAAGGUGAAGGUCAAGGUCAUCCUUCAAGGUCAAAUGUCUAAUAUAUGGCGUCUGUCUGUCCGUCCAAAAACUUUAACAUUGGCCAUAACUUUUGCACUAUUGAAGAUAGCGACUUGAUAUUUGGCAUGCAUGUGUAUCUCAUGGAACUGAACAUUUUGAGUGGUGAAAGGUCAAGGUCAUCCUUCAAGGUCAAAUGUCAAAUAUAUGGCGUCUUUCCGUCCGAAAACUUUCACAUUGGCCAUAACUUUUUCAAUAUUGAAGAAAGCAACUUGAUAUUUGGCAUGCAUGUGCAUCUCACGGAGCUGCACAUUUUGAGUGGUGAAAGGUGAAGGUCUAGGUCAUCCUUCAAGGUCAAAUGUCUAAUAUAUGGCGUUUGUCCGUCCGUCCAAAAACUUUAACAUUGGCCAUAACUUUUGCACUAUUGAAGAUGGCAACUUGAUAUUUGGCAAGCAUGUGUAUCUCAUGGAGCUGAACAUUUUGAGUGGUGAGAGGUGAAGGUCAAGGUCAUCCUUCAAGGUCAAAUGUCAAAUAUAUGGCAUCUGUCAGUUCGAAAACUUUAACAUUGGCCAUAACUUUUUCAAUAUUGAAGAUAGCAACUUGAUAUUUGGCAUGCAUGUGCAUCUCACAGAGCUGCACAUUUUGAAUGGUGAAGGUUAAGGUCAUCCUUCAAGGUCAAAUGUCUUAUAUAUGGCGUCUGUCCGUCCGUCCAAAAACUUUAACAUUGGCCAUAACUUUUGCACUAUUGAAGAUAGCAACUUGAUGUUUGGCAUGCAUGUGUAUCUCAUGGAGCUGAACAUUUUGAGUGGUGAAAGGUGAAGGUCAUCCUUCAAGGUCAAAUAUAUGAGGUCUGUCCGUCCGAAAACUUUAACAUUGGCCAUAACUUUUUAUGUCCCCCACUAUAGUAGUGGGGGACAUAUUGUUUUUGCCCUGUCUGUUGGUUUGUUGGUUGGUCUGUUGGUUUGCGCCAACUUUAACAUUUGCAAUAACUUUUGCAAUAUUGAAGAUAGCAACUUGAUAUUUGGCAUGCAUAUGUAUCUCGUGGAGCUGCACAUUUUGAGUGGUGAAAGGUAAAGGUCAAGGUCAUCCUUCAAGGUCAAAGGUCAAAUAUAUGGGUCAAAAUUGCUUAUUUAAUGUACACUUUUGCAAUAUUUCAAUAUUCAAGAUAGCAACUUGAUAUUUGGCAUGCAUGUGUAUCUCAUGGAGCUGCACAUUUUGAGUGGUGAAAGGUCAAGGUCAUCCUUCAAGGUCAGAGGUCAAAUAUAUGUGGCCAAAAUCGCUCAUUUGAUGAGUACUUUUGCAAUAUUUGGAUAAGCAACUUGAUAUUUGGCAUGCAUGUGUAUCUCAUGGUGCUGCACAUUUUGAGUUGUGAAAGGUCAAGGUAAAGGUCAUCCUUCAAGGUCAAAUAUAUUGGUCAAAAUUGCUCAUGUAAUGUCACUUCUGCAAUAUUGAAGCUAGCAAGUUUAUAUUUUUUUAUGAAUACUUUUGCAAUAUUGAAGAUAGCAACUUGAUAUUUGGCAUGCAUGUGUAUCUCAUGGAGCUGCACAUUUUGAGUGGUGAAAGGUCAAGGUCAUCCUUCAAGGUCAGAGGUCAAAUAUAUGUGGCCUAAAUCGCUUAUUUUAUGAAUACUUUUGCAAUAUUGAAUAUAGCAACUUGAUAUUUGGCAUGCAUGUGUAUCUCAUGGAGCUGCACAUUUUGAGUGUUGAAAGGUCAAGGUCAUCCUUCACAAGGUCAAGGUCAUCCUUCAAAGUCAAACGUCAUAUAGGGGGACAUUGUGUUUCACAAACGCAUCUUGUUCAAUAUUGAAGAUAGCAACUUGAUAAUGGCAUGCAUGGGUAUCUCAUGAAGCUGCACAUUUUUAGUGGUGGAAGUUUAAGGUCAAGGUCAUCCUUCAAGGUCAAAGGUCAAAAAUAAAUAAAUAAAAGUGGCGUUCUCAUGAAGCUGCACAUUUUGAGGGGUGGAAGUUCAAGGUCAAGGUCAUCCUUCAAGGUCAAAGGUCAAAAAAAAUAAAUAAAUAAAGCGGCGUUCUCAUGAAGCUGCACAUUUUGAGUGGUGGAAGUUCAAGGUCAAGGUCAUCCUUCAAGGUCAAAGGUCAAAAAAUAAUAAUUUCAAAGCGGCGCAAUAGGGGGCAUUGUGUUUCUGAGGAACACAUCUUUUGUUUUUUUAUGCCCCCGGUAGGGUGGCAUAUAGCAGUUGAACUGUCCAUCAGUCAGUAUGUCAGUCUGUCCGUCCAUCCGAAAACUUAUGGUCAUAACUUUUUCAAUAUUUAACAUAGCAACUUGAUAUUUGGCAUGCAUGUGCAUCUCAUAGAGCUGCACAUUUUGAGUGGUGAAAGGAGAAGGUCAAGGUCAUCCUUCAAGGUCAAAUGUCUAAUAUAUGGCGUCUGUCCGUCCGUCCAAAAACUUUAACAUUAGCCAUAACUUUUUCACCAUUAAAGAAAGCAACUUGAUAUUUGGCAUGCAUGUGUAUCUCUUGGAGCUGAACAUUUUAAGUGGUGAAAUGUGAAGGUCAAGGUCAUCCUUCAAGGUCAAAAGUCAAACAUUCCGUCCAAAAACUUUAACAUUGGCUAUAACUUUUUCACUAUUGAAGAUGCCAAAGAUGGCAACUUGAUAUUUGGCAUGCAUGUGUAUCUCCUUGAGCUGAACAUUUUGAGUGGUGAAAGGUGAAGGUCAAGGGCCUCCUUCAAGGUCAAAUGUCAAAUAUUCCGUCUGUCCGAAAACUUUAACAUUGGCCAUAACUUUUUAAAUAUUGAAGAUAGCAACUUGAUAUUUGGCAUGCAUGUGUAUCUCCUGGAGCUGAACAUUUUGAGUGGUGAAAGGUCAAGGUCAUCCUUCAAGGUCAAAGGUCAAAAAAUAAAAAAAUAAAAAUUUCAUUUCUCCAUUCAAUCUCUUACUUACUUUUCAUGGAGCUGCACUUUUUGAGUGGUGAAAGGUCAAGGUUAUCCUUCAAGGUCAAAGGUCAAAUAUAUGGAUUCAAAGUGGCGCAAUAGGGGGCAUUGUGUUUCUGAUAAACACAUCUCUUGUUUUUUACAAAGUUGAUUUUUUAGACAAAAGCUGAAUGUGUGGGUAUUUGUGACCUAUGGACACGACGUUACUUAAACAAAAGUCUUUACUUAAGUUAAACACAAGGCUUUACGUAAACAAAAGUCUUUACUGAAACAAAAGUCUACCUAAACAAAAUUUACGAUAUUGGUAUUAAUGUCAGAAAAGACACAGCAAGCACUGUCCAUAAACAUAAGGAAGUAAAUCAGGUCAACAAUUUGUUUACUGUUGCGUGUUUUAUUUUUAUGCCCCCGUUAGGGUGGCUUAUAGCAGUUGAACUGUUUGUCAGUCAGUCUGCCCGUCCGUCCGAAAACUUUAACAUCGCCCAUAACUUUUGCAAUAUUGAAGAUAGCAACUUGAUAUUUGGCAUGCAUGUGUAUCUCAUGGAGCUGCACAUUUUGAGUGGUGAAAGGUCAAGGUCAUCCUUCAAGGUCAAAGAUAUGGCUUCAAAGUGGCGCAGAAGGGGGGCAUUGUGUUUCUGACAAACACAUCUCUUGUUCAAUAAAUAGUUCAGUUUUAUUUACUACAUGUAGCUACAUUUUUUUACAGCACUUCUUUCAUUAUUUUCGUUAGAAACUUUUUAUUUAUCCAGCAUUGUUUUAUUAUUUGUGCUUGAGAAGGAGCAGUUGCCAAUGGACAGAGGUGAAUGUAUAUUUAUGGAUGUUUUUAUUGUGAAAGUCAAAUAAUUAUUUUGAAUUUUUAAUUGUGUACAAAUUGUUUAUAAAAUGCAACAAUUGGCAACAUUAAAGUAGCAUUACUACUCAAAAUCAACUCAAAAUUUCGUACAAUAUAAAGUAAAAUAAAGCUAAACAAUUAAAAAUCAUUGUUCCUUAUGACAAUUGUCGAAAUUUCAACACCUGAUGUGGUCUGGUAAAAAAGAUGUUUGUGGAUACAAAAUGCUCGUUUUUAUUAUGGUUUUAACAUGGUACCAUUUUAGUGUUUGUGUGUCGUAUCAAUAGAUAUAUACGCAGUAAAUUAACAUGGACUUUAUUGUGGUCACAAAUAAAUAUAAACGAGUAUUUUGUAUCUACAAAAAUCUAUGUAAUCAUACCACUUCUAGCGUUGAAAUUGUGGCUAUUGAUAUAAGGAACACUGUUUGUUUAGGUGUUAACUUUAUUUUACAAAAUACUUUACGAAAUGUUCGUUGAUUAUAGAGACUUGAAGCUUUUAUUGAGACAUGAAUAAAUACAAAGAAGAGUUAAAAUGUUAUGUUAUUUAAUUUCCAAAACUACAAAAGUACAUUCAACAAAUGCUAUAAUAUCAUAAUUAUAUAUUUUGUAGAAUUGUCAAGCAAAGUAACUAGAACUUGACUUGUUUUUGCCCGGUCUGUUUGUUUGUUGGUUUGCGUCAAAUUUAAACAUUUGCCAUAACUUUUGCAAAAUUGAAGAUAGCAUAUUCAUAUUUGGCACAUAUUUGUAUCUCAUGCAGCUGCACAGUUUGAGUGGUGAAAGGUCAAGGUCAUUCUUCAAGGUUAAAGCUCAAAAAUAUGGGUCAAAAUGGUCAAACAUUAACAUUUGCCAUAACUUUUGCAAUAUUGAGGAAAGCAACUAAUUAUUUGGCAUGCAUGUGUAUCUCAUGGAGCUGCACAUUUUGAGUGGUGAAUGAUCAAGGUCAUCCUUCAAGGUCAAAGGUCAAAUAUAGGGGGGGGGGGGGGACAUAGUGUUUCACAAACACAUCUUGUUUCAAUUCAAUUUCCACCACCUCUCACAUAUUUCGUCAGUGAUUUUCAACCAGGUUUUCUGAAGGAAGCUUGUCAGGGCCAUAACUAUGUCGUUCACUGUCAGAUUUUUAAAUCAUUGGGCACAUUUAACCAUCAUUGGACGGUGUGUCGUGCGAAAGAAUUACGUCGAUAUCUUCAAGGUCAAGGUCACACUUUGAGUUCAAAGGUCAAAAAUGGCCAUACAUGAGCUAAUCCGGGCCAUAACUAUGUCAUUUAUUGUCAGAUUUGAGAAUCUUUUGGCACAUUUGUUUACCAUCAUUAUAUGGUGUGUCGCGCGAAAGAAUUACGUAGAUAUCUCCAAGGUCAAGGCCGCCACGACUAAAAAUAGAUUGAUUUUUAAACAAGGGGGGGUUUUCUGUGAUGAUCAGUAGCAAUGCACAUUUUGAGUUGUAGUUGUUUCCCUUUAUCAGACUUUAAUUUAUUGAAAGCCUGGUUUUUUGACAAUUUUGUCCAUUGUUUUUAAUGUUGCAUGUUAACUAGUGCACCCCUUAACAUCAUGUAUUUACCUUUGUUUGUUAAGUAUGAAUGAUACUUUGUCGAUUAAUUUCACCGUUAUACAACGGAUAAAGAAAGAGACGCUAUAUUUGUUGAUUAACUACAUCCUU